rnacentral:rRNA from 1 species
GCAUAUCAAUAAGCGGAGGAAAAGAAACCAACAGGGAUUGCCUCAGUAACUGCGAGUGAAGUGGCAAAAGCUCAAAAUUGAAAUCCGGUGCCUCUGGCGCCUGAGUUGUAAUUUGGAGAGACAAAUUUGGUUGACGGUGCCGGCCUAGGUUCCUUUGAACAGGACAACGUAGAGGGUGAGAAUCCCGUGCCUGGCUGGAUGACCGUCUCUUUCCUAAAUUGUCUUCGACGAGUCGAGUUGUUUGGGAAUGCAGCUCAAAAUGGGUGGUAAAUGUCAUCUAAAGCUAAAUAUUGGCGAGAGACCGAUAGCGCACAAGUAGAGUGAUCGAAAGAUGAAAAGCACUUUGAAAAGAGAGUCAAAAAGUACGUGAAAUUGCUGAAAGGGAAGCGCUUGAGACCAGACUCGAACCGGUGGUGAUCAGCCGUGCUUCUGCCCGGUGUCACUUGCCACGGUUUGGGCCAGCAUCGGUUCUGGCGGCCGGAUAAAAGGUGGGGGAAUGUAGCUUCCUUCGGGGAGUGUUUAUUAGCCCCCGCCACAAUGCGGCCAGCCGGGACCGAGGACCGCGCGGGCUUCUGCUAGGAUGCUGGCGUAAUGGUCUUAAGCGACCCGUCUUGAAACACGGACCAAGGAGUCUAACAUCUAUGCGAGUGUUCGGGUGGAAAACCCU